AGUGCAGGCUGUUUAAGGACGCGCUUGUCAUCAGUAGCCUGGCUCUUUCUCCCACUGCAGGCCAACAGCAGAGUGUAGGAUCACAGUUUAUUAAGAAGUGGAAAUGAGAGAAAGGAACAAGAAUCCAUAUUGAUUAGAAAAGAAGAAGAGGUCCUGCUCUGGGAAGGACACUGGAUGUAAAGGAUGUCCGAGUAGCCAAGCCCUGGCUAAUCCCAGGGUAUACCUUCCUUUUCUCAUCGCCCAGUAUACAUACAUCACUGAGCUGGAAGACAUAUUUUCAGACCCAGAAUCCUUAUAUCUCAAUCUGUCCAAAUGGUACCAAACUUGUGGAUCAAAGGCAAAGCAAGGUGAGCUUCUGGAGGCCUGGCACAGGACAUGAUCAUUCACACUGGGGCAAGCAAACCGCCAUGCUGCCAGCAGCUCUACAGAAAGGCCCAUGUGGCAUGGCGAGGAAUUGAGACCCUCAGCCCAAGAGCCUAUGAGGAACUGAGACUUGCCAGCUUCCCCAUGACUAAGCUUAGGAGGGAAUCCUUCACUCCAGCUGAGUCUUGAAAUGACUGCAGCCCCAGCGGACAGCUUUAUUGCAGCAUUACGAGACACCCUGAGCAGGCAUCUCCCAGCUCAGCUGCGCCUGGAACCCUGGCUCACAGAACUGUGAGAUAAUAAAGGUUUGUUGUUUUAAGCU